CCUAACAUACAAAGCCAAGCAACUAAAACUAUUAAGGUUUUCGCAGGCGGUGUCUUUUCCAGGAAGAAGGAUCGGUGGCCAUAUCUUUUCCUCCUCCUCCCCCUCUUCAGGUUCAUCGUCUUCCCGAACUCUCCGAGAAAUUUGCAUAGUUUCUCACAUUCAUCUCAUCAGCAAUGUCAUAUCAGCCCCUAAUAAUCUCAACUACUUUCUUCCUAAAAUGAGAAUGGAACGUUCUUUAGCAGUCUGAUCCAUCCAUUUUAGCCGUUCACCCGUCGGCUUCUAUAAUUGCUGGUACGCUGAGUUUGCCGGCGGGUAGAGAAUCUGAGCUCGUCAUUGCGGGAGAAACUCAUGAUUACUGCUCAUUCACCAAAUGAUCGAUGUUUAAUUUGGUUCUUUUCAGGAAGAUCUCCUUUGCCAUAUAUCAUCUUAACUCAUUAAGUGGCCUAUGUUCUGUUCUACCCAGGCGCACAUACUAAGCAGAGGUAAGGUUGUUGAAGGAACAAAUGGCUCUGAAGAAUACCUCCACUACCACAUCGCAAUGCUCCAUUUCUUCUCUCUUUCUUCUAUUCACUCUCAUCUGCAUUCUUUCACUCUCUCUCCUCCUCAUCUUUAACGCAACCCAACAACCCUCGUCAUCCGCUUCUUCAGUUUCCAAGAACAGUCCUCAAUUUCUCAGCCAUCACAUCAAAGUCUACGUAGCAGACCUCCCCAGAUCGCUUAACUAUGGCUUGCUCGACAAGUAUUGGUCUUUAAAUGGAGAUUUGAGGCUGGGAAGCGAUGAAGACCAGGAAAUUCGAUCGACCCUUUUGUCUAAAAAGCUCCAAUUCCCACCAUAUCCUGAGAAUCCUUUGAUCAAGCAAUACAGUGCCGAAUACUGGAUCAUGGGUGACCUUAUGACUCCUGAGAAAUUACGAACUGGAUCGUUUGCCAGGCGAGUUUUUGAUGUCAAUGAAGCUGAUGCUGUUUUUGUGCCGUUCUUUGCUACACUUAGUGCUGAAAUGCAGUUGGGUGUGGCUAAAGGGGUGUUCAGGAAGAAAGUGGGCAAUGAGGACUAUGAGAGGCAGAGGGAGGUCGUGGAUUUUGUGAAGGGGACUGAGGCUUGGAAGCGGUCAGGUGGGCGGAAUCAUGUCUUUGUUGUCACAGACCCAGUUGCAAUGUGGCAUUUCAGGGCUGAGAUAUCCUCAGCCAUUCUCCUGGUAGUUGAUUUCGGUGGGUGGUAUCGGCUCGACACAAAAGCUUCAAAGAGUAGCACAUCAGAUGUGAUACAGCACACCCAAGUUUCAUUACUUAAAGAUGUAAUUGUGCCGUAUACCCAUCUUCUCCCUCAGUUGCAGUUAUCAGAAAACAAAAAACGGCAGAAUCUUCUUUACUUCAAAGGGGCUAAACACAGGCACCGGGGAGGCCUAGUUCGUGAAAAGUUAUGGAACUUGUUGGUCAAUGAACCAGGAGUUACCAUGGAGGAAGGCUUCCCUAAUGCUACUGGACGAGAGCAAUCAAUAAAAGGGAUGAGAACAUCUGAGUUCUGCUUGCACCCAGCUGGUGAUACCCCCACUUCAUGCCGUCUUUUUGAUGCCAUUCAAAGUCUCUGUAUACCUGUUAUUGUUAGCGACAACAUUGAGCUUCCAUUUGAAGGAAUGGUGGAUUAUUCCGGAUUUUCAGUUUUUAUAGCAGUUAGUGAAGCAUUACAGCCAAACAAACUUGUAACUCUUCUUAGAAGCUUUUCUAAAGAGCAGAGGGAUGGAUUCCGCCGAAAUAUGGCAGAAGUUCAGGCCAUUUUUGAGUAUGAUUAUGGUCAUCUAGGUGGCAUUGGGCCCAUUGCUCCAGAUGGGGCUGUGAAUCACAUAUGGAAAAAGGUUCACCAAAAAUUGCCCAUGAUUAAUGAAGCUAUUGUUCGAGAGAGGAGAAAACCACUGGGUGCAUCAGUGCCAUUUCGUUGCCAUUGCGUGUGAAAUUAUAAGUAUUGUGCGGAUUAUGUUUGGAGUGUAAUGCACGUAUUUUUUGAGGGAGAAAAUUGAAAUGGCAGCUGGUUUGGCAGAAGAUUCAUUAGCUGGCCUCUUCAUGGUGGAAGGUCUGAUCAGUUGAACUUGGUAGAGGAAGGCAGUUCAACAUUGUUUCGUCAUCUGUACAAUCUAGUCAUAUUUUCUGGCUUACCAUGCCUUCAAAAAUCUUCGAAGAAAGUUAUAUGGUGAGCUUUUCUCUCUCUCUCUCUCUCUCUCUCUCUCUCUCUCUUUCCCCCCUUCAAAGCAGUCCCUGUUCCAUACUUUGGCUUCUGUGGAACGGAACAAGAUAGUCAGCUACAAUUGAUGCUCCAGUUUUAACGUCUCCAGUGACAGUUGAUCAUUGUGAUGUGGGAACAAAGAGUAAUUGUCAUGAAGAGAAGUCAGAUGAUAGUGAGUUCCUGUCAGCAGUGAAGUUCCUGUGGACAUAAGAAACACUGGUCUGCAUAAUGAAGACCAAAUGCAAAAUGAGGAUGACAUUGGCAGUGUGUUGGGUUCCCAGGGUAUCUUGGUUCUGACAUGUAGCCAGAAUGCUUCAAGGGGCAGAAAUAGAAUUUGAUAUGAUUGUUAUUUGGAGAUUAUCUUCUUCUUCGUCUUCUUCUUGUUGCUGUGUAAAAUGUAAACCAUGCUUCUUGUUGUUGUGACCCAAGAAUGGAAUUUCAAAAUCUACUAAAAGAGUUCUGAUAUCUUCUGCUGCCGGAGCUAUUUGGAAAAUUCUUGGAGCUGGGCGUCAAACUUGGUUCUUCAUUUACAGCAAUUGUGCAUGAAUUAAGGAUAUUUCUGUUCAUGGAGAUGGAAACCUCUCUGCCAUAGUAAUCUCGAUUUGCUGGUUAGUCUGAACUGGUGAUUCAGAAAAUCUCUGAUACUGAAUAUAAGGCACAGAGAUCAGGGUUUGAGGUUAGUGUUGUUCUUAGGGUGUCUUGGGUACACAAACUGUCAUCUUCUACCAGAUGCCAAUGUCUUCCUUUUUUUCAAUUUUUUUUUCAUGUUACAAAAUCUAAGUUCCUUAUUACACACUAAUUUUCAGUUAAAAUGGUUGGAUAAACAUCAAUUACACAUUUGGUAUGUAGGAACGGAAUGAAAUUAAGGGGAAUGAAAUUGAAUUUAUUACUUGAU